rnacentral:lncRNA from 1 species
GGUUAGGGUUAGGGUUGCAGUUAGGGUUAGUGUUGGAGCUAGGGUUAGGGUUGGGCUUGGAGCUAGGAUUUUUCUGAGUGAACUGAACCAACUCCCGAGUCUCUAGGACAUUCCUAAAAAAAUUUGAUUUUUUCCCAUAGGAAUGCAUGGGUUAGGGUUAUGGUUAGGGUUAGGGUUGGAGCUAGGGUUAGGGUUAGGGUUAGGGUUGGAGUUAGGGUUAGUGUUGGAGCUAGGGUUAGGGUUGGGCUUGGAGCUAGGAUUUUUCUGAGUGCACUGAACCAACUCCCGAGUCUCUAGGACGUUCCUAAAAAAAUUUGAUUUUUUCCCAUAGGAAUGCAUGGGUUAGGGUUAGGGUUAGGGUUGGAGCUAGGGUUAGGGUUAGGGUUAGGGUUGGAGUUAGGGUUAGUGUUGGAGCUAGGGUUAGGGUUGGGCUUGGAGCUAGGAUUUUUCUGAGUGCACUGAACCAACUCCCGAGUCUCUAGGACAUUCCUAAAAAAAAUUGAGUUUUUCCCAUAGGAAUGCAUGGGUUAGGGUUAGGGUUAGGGUUGGAGCUAGGGUUAGGGUUAGGGUUAGGGUUGGAGUUAGGGUUAGUGUUGGAGCUAGGGUUAGGGUUGGGCUUGGAGCUAGGAUUUUUCUGAGUGCACUGAACCAACUCCCGAGUCUCUAGGACAUUCCUAAAAAAAUUUGAUUUUUUCCCAUAGGAAUGCAUGGGUUAGGGUUAUGGUUAGGGUUAGGGUUGGAGCUAGGGUUAGGGUUAGGGUUAGGGUUGGAGUUAGGGUUAGUGUUGGAGCUAGGGUUAGGGUUGGGCUUGGAGCUAGGAUUUUUCUGAGUGCACUGAACCAACUCCCGAGUCUCUAGGACAUUCCUAAAAAAAUUUGAUUUUUUCCCAUAGGAAUGCAUGGGUUAGGGUUAUGGUUAGGGUUAGGGUUGGAGCUAGGGUUAGGGUUAGGGUUAGGGUUGGAGUUAGGGUUAGUGUUGGAGCUAGGGUUAGGGUUGGGCUUGGAGCUAGGAUUUUUCUGAGUGCACUGAACCAACUCCCGAGUCUCUAGGACAUUCCUAAAAAAAUUUGAUUUUUUCCCAUAGGAAUGCAUGGGUUAGGGUUAUGGUUAGGGUUAGGGUUGGAGCUAGGGUUAGGGUUAGGGUUAGGGUUGGAGUUAGGGUUAGUGUUGGAGCUAGGGUUAGGGUUGGGCUUGGAGCUAGGAUUUUUCUGAGUGCACUGAACCAACUCCCGAGUCUCUAGGACAUUCCUAAAAAAAUUUGAUUUUUUCCCAUAGGAAUGCAUGGGUUAGGGUUAUGGUUAGGGUUAGGGUUGGAGCUAGGGUUAGGGUUAGGGUUAGGGUUGGAGUUAGGGUUAGUGUUGGAGCUAGGGUUAGGGUUGGGCUUGGAGCUAGGAUUUUUCUGAGUGCACUGAACCAACUCCCGAGUCUCUAGGACGUUCCUAAAAAAAUUUGAUUUUUUCCCAUAGGAAUGCAUGGGUUAGGGUUAGGGUUAGGGUUGGAGCUAGGGUUAGGGUUAGGGUUAGGGUUGGAGUUAGGGUUAGUGUUGGAGCUAGGGUUAGGGUUGGGCUUGGAGCUAGGAUUUUUCUGAGUGCACUGAACCAACUCCCGAGUCUCUAGGACAUUCCUAAAAAAAUUUGAGUUUUUCCCAUAGGAAUGCAUGGGUUAGGGUUAGGGUUAGGGUUGGAGCUAGGGUUAGGGUUAGGGUUAGGGUUGGAGUUAGGGUUAGUGUUGGAGCUAGGGUUAGGGUUGGGCUUGGAGCUAGGAUUUUUCUGAGUGCACUGAACCAACUCCCGAGUCUCUAGGACAUUCCUAAAAAAAUUUGAUUUUUUCCCAUAGGAAUGCAUGGGUUAGGGUUAUGGUUAGGGUUAGGGUUGGAGCUAGGGUUAGGGUUAGGGUUAGGGUUGGAGUUAGGGUUAGUGUUGGAGCUAGGGUUAGGGUUGGGCUUGGAGCUAGGAUUUUUCUGAGUGCACUGAACCAACUCCCGAGUCUCUAGGACAUUCCUAAAAAAAUUGAUUUUUUCCCAUAGGAAUGCAUGGGUUAGGGUUAUGGUUAGGGUUAGGGUUGGAGCUAGGGUUAGGGUUAGGGUUAGGGUUGGAGUUAGGGUUAGUGUUGGAGCUAGGGUUAGGGUUGGGCUUGGAGCUAGGAUUUUUCUGAGUGCACUGAACCAACUCCCGAGUCUCUAGGACAUUCCUAAAAAAAUUUGAUUUUUUCCCAUAGGAAUGCAUGGGUUAGGGUUAUGGUUAGGGUUAGGGUUGGAGCUAGGGUUAGGGUUAGGGUUAGGGUUGGAGUUAGAGUUAGUGUUGGAGCUAGGGUUAGGGUUGGGCUUGGAGCUAGGAUUUUUCUGAGUGCACUGAACCAACUCCCGAGUCUCUAGGACAUUCCUAAAAAAAUUUGAUUUUUUCCCAUAGGAAUGCAUGGGUUAGGGUUAUGGUUAGGGUUAGGGUUGGAGCUAGGGUUAGGGUUAGGGUUAGGGUUGGAGUUAGGGUUAGUGUUGGAGCUAGGGUUAGGGUUGGGCUUGGAGCUAGGAUUUUUCUGAGUGCACUGAACCAACUCCCGAGUCUCUAGGACAUUCCUAAAAAAAUUUGAUUUUUUCCCAUAGGAAUGCAUGGGUUAGGGUUAUGGUUAGGGUUAGGGUUGGAGCUAGGGUUAGGGUUAGGGUUAGGGUUGGAGUUAGGGUUAGUGUUGGAGCUAGGGUUAGGGUUGGGCUUGGAGCUAGGAUUUUUCUGAGUGCACUGAACCAACUCCCGAGUCUCUAGGACAUUCCUAAAAAAAUUUGAGUUUUUCCCAUAGGAAUGCAUGGGUUAGGGUUAGGGUUAGGGUUGGAGCUAGGGUUAGGGUUAGGGUUAGGGUUGCAGUUAGGGUUAGUGUUGGAGCUAGGGUUAGGGUUGGGCUUGGAGCUAGGAUUUUUCUGAGUGCACUGAACCAACUCCCGAGUCUCUAGGACAUUCCUAAAAAAAUUUGAUUUUUUCCCAUAGGAAUGCAUGGGUUAGGGUUAUGGUUAGGGUUAGGGUUGGAGCUAGGGUUAGGGUUAGGGUUAGGGUUGGAGUUAGAGUUAGUGUUGGAGCUAGGGUUAGGGUUGGGCUUGGAGCUAGGAUUUUUCUGAGUGCACUGAACCAACUCCCGAGUCUCUAGGACAUUCCUAAAAAAAUUUGAUUUUUUCCCAUAGGAAUGCAUGGGUUAGGGUUAUGGUUAGGGUUAGGGUUGGAGCUAGGGUUAGGGUUAGGGUUAGGGUUGGAGUUAGGGUUAGUGUUGGAGCUAGGGUUAGGGUUGGGCUUGGAGCUAGGAUUUUUCUGAGUGCACUGAACCAACUCCCGAGUCUCUAGGACGUUCCUAAAAAAAUUUGAUUUUUUCCCAUAGGAAUGCAUGGGUUAGGGUUAGGGUUAGGGUUGGAGCUAGGGUUAGGGUUAGGGUUAGGGUUGGAGUUAGGGUUAGUGUUGGAGCUAGGGUUAGGGUUGGGCUUGGAGCUAGGAUUUUUCUGAGUGCACUGAACCAACUCCCGAGUCUCUAGGACAUUCCUAAAAAAAUUUGAGUUUUUCCCAUAGGAAUGCAUGGGUUAGGGUUAGGGUUAGGGUUGGAGCUAGGGUUAGGGUUAGGGUUAGGGUUGGAGUUAGGGUUAGUGUUGGAGCUAGGGUUAGGGUUGGGCUUGGAGCUAGGAUUUUUCUGAGUGCACUGAACCAACUCCCGAGUCUCUAGGACAUUCCUAAAAAAAUUUGAUUUUUUUCCCAUAGGAAUGCAUGGGUUAGGGUUAUGGUUAGGGUUAGGGUUGGAGCUAGGGUUAGGGUUAGGGUUAGGGUUGGAGUUAGGGUUAGUGUUGGAGCUAGGGUUAGGGUUGGGCUUGGAGCUAGGAUUUUUCUGAGUGCACUGAACCAACUCCCGAGUCUCUAGGACAUUCCUAAAAAAUUUGAUUUUUUCCCAUAGGAAUGCAUGGGUUAGGGUUAGGGUUAGGGUUGGAGCUAGGGUUAGGGUUAGGGUUAGGGUUGGAGUUAGGGUUAGUGUUGGAGCUAGGGUUAGGGUUGGGCUUGGAGCUAGGAUUUUUCUGAGUGCACUGAACCAACUCCCGAGUCUCUAGGACAUUCCUAAAAAAAUUUGAUUUUUUCCCAUAGGAAUGCAUGGGUUAGGGUUAUGGUUAGGGUUAGGGUUGGAGCUAGGGUUAGGGUUAGGGUUAGGGUUGGAGUUAGGGUUAGUGUUGGAGCUAGGGUUAGGGUUGGGCUUGGAGCUAGGAUUUUUCUGAGUGCACUGAACCAACUCCCGAGUCUCUAGGACAUUCCUAAAAAAAUUUGAUUUUUUUCCCAUAGGAAUGCAUGGGUUAGGGUUAUGGUUAGGGUUAGGGUUGGAGCUAGGGUUAGGGUUAGGGUUAGGGUUGGAGUUAGGGUUAGUGUUGGAGCUAGGGUUAGGGUUGGGCUUGGAGCUAGGAUUUUUCUGAGUGCACUGAACCAACUCCCGAGUCUCUAGGACGUUCCUAAAAAAAUUUGAUUUUUUCCCAUAGGAAUGCAUGGGUUAGGGUUAGGGUUAGGGUUGGAGCUAGGGUUAGGGUUAGGGUUAGGGUUGGAGUUAGGGUUAGUGUUGGAGCUAGGGUUAGGGUUGGGCUUGGAGCUAGGAUUUUUCUGAGUGCACUGAACCAACUCCCGAGUCUCUAGGACAUUCCUAAAAAAAUUUGAUUUUUUCCCAUAGGAAUGCAUGGGUUAGGGUUAUGGUUAGGGUUAGGGUUGGAGCUAGGGUUAGGGUUAGGGUUAGGGUUGGAGUUAGGGUUAGUGUUGGAGCUAGGGUUAGGGUUGGGCUUGGAGCUAGGAUUUUUCUGAGUGCACUGAACCAACUCCCGAGUCUCUAGGACAUUCCUAAAAAAAUUUGAUUUUUUCCCAUAGGAAUGCAUGGGUUAGGGUUAGGGUUAGGGUUGGAGCUAGGGUUAGGGUUAGGGUUGGAGUUAGGGUUAGUGUUGGAGCUAGGGUUAGGGUUGGGCUUGGAGCUAGGAUUUUUCUGAGUGCACUGAACCAACUCCCGAGUCUCUAGGACAUUCCUAAAAAAAUUUGAUUUUUUCCCAUAGGAAUGCAUGGGUUAGGGUUAUGGUUAGCGUUAGGGUUGGAGCUAGGGUUAGGGUUAGGGUUGGAGUUAGGGUUAGUGUUGGAGCUAGGGUUAGGGUUGGGCUUGGAGCUAGGAUUUUUCUGAGUGCACUGAACCAACUCCCGAGUCUCUAGGACAUUCCUAAAAAAAUUUGAUUUUUUCCCAUAGGAAUGCAUGGGUUAGGGUUAUGGUUAGGGUUAGGGUUGGAGCUAGGGUUAGGGUUAGGGUUAGGGUUGGAGUUAGGGUUAGUGUUGGAGCUAGGGUUAGGGUUGGGCUUGGAGCUAGGAUUUUUCUGAGUGCACUGAACCAACUCCCGAGUCUCUAGGACAUUCCUAAAAAAAUUUGAUUUUUUCCCAUAGGAAUGCAUGGGUUAGGGUUAUGGUUAGGGUUAGGGUUGGAGCUAGGGUUAGGGUUAGGUUUAGGGUUGGAGUUAGGGUUAGUGUUGGAGCUAGGGUUAGGGUUGGGCUUGGAGCUAGGAUUUUUCUGAGUGCACUGAACCAACUCCCGAGUCUCUAGGACAUUCCUAAAAAAAUUUGAUUUUUUCCCAUAGGAAUGCAUGGGUUAGGGUUAUGGUUAGGGUUAGGGUUGGAGCUAGGGUUAGGGUUAGGGUUAGGGUUGGAGUUAGGGUUAGUGUUGGAGCUAGGGUUAGGGUUGGGCUUGGAGCUAGGAUUUUUCUGAGUGCACUGAACCAACUCCCGAGUCUCUAGGACGUUCCUAAAAAAAUUUGAUUUUUUCCCAUAGGAAUGCAUGGGUUAGGGUUAGGGUUAGGGUUGGAGCUAGGGUUAGGGUUAGGGUUAGGGUUGGAGUUAGGGUUAGUGUUGGAGCUAGGGUUAGGGUUGGGCUUGGAGCUAGGAUUUUUCUGAGUGCACUGAACCAACUCCCGAGUCUCUAGGACAUUCCUAAAAAAAUUUGAGUUUUUCCCAUAGGAAUGCAUGGGUUAGGGUUAGGGUUAGGGUUGGAGCUAGGGUUAGGGUUAGGGUUAGGGUUGGAGUUAGGGUUAGUGUUGGAGCUAGGGUUAGGGUUGGGCUUGGAGCUAGGAUUUUUCUGAGUGCACUGAACCAACUCCCGAGUCUCUAGGACAUUCCUAAAAAAAUUUGAUUUUUUCCCAUAGGAAUGCAUGGGUUAGGGUUAUGGUUAGGGUUAGGGUUGGAGCUAGGGUUAGGGUUAGGGUUAGGGUUGGAGUUAGGGUUAGUGUUGGAGCUAGGGUUAGGGUUGGGCUUGGAGCUAGGAUUUUUCUGAGUGCACUGAACCAACUCCCGAGUCUCUAGGACAUUCCUAAAAAAAUUUGAUUUUUUCCCAUAGGAAUGCAUGGGUUAGGGUUAUGGUUAGGGUUAGGGUUGGAGCUAGGGUUGGAGUUAGGGUUAGGGUUGGAGUUAGGGUUAGUGUUGGAGCUAGGGUUAGGGUUGGGCUUGGAGCUAGGAUUUUUCUGAGUGCACUGAACCAACUCCCGAGUCUCUAGGACAUUCCUAAAAAAAUUUGAUUUUUUCCCAUAGGAAUGCAUGGGUUAGGGUUAUGGUUAGGGUUAGGGUUGGAGCUAGGGUUAGGGUUAGGGUUAGGGUUGGAGUUAGAGUUAGUGUUGGAGCUAGGGUUAGGGUUGGGCUUGGAGCUAGGAUUUUUCUGAGUGCACUGAACCAACUCCCGAGUCUCUAGGACAUUCCUAAAAAAAUUUGAUUUUUUCCCAUAGGAAUGCAUGGGUUAGGGUUAUGGUUAGGGUUAGGGUUGGAGCUAGGGUUUGUGUUAGGGUUAGGGUUGGAGUUAGGGUUAGUGUUGGAGCUAGGGUUAGGGUUGGGCUUGGAGCUAGGAUUUUUCUGAGUGCACUGAACCAACUCCCGAGUCUCUAGGACAUUCCUAAAAAAAUUUGAUUUUUUCCCAUAGGAAUGCAUGGGUUAGGGUUAUGGUUAGGGUUAGGGUUGGAGCUAGGGUUAGGGUUAGGGUUAGGGUUGGAGUUAGGGUUAGUGUUGGAGCUAGGGUUAGGGUUGGGCUUGGAGCUAGGAUUUUUCUGAGUGCACUGAACCAACUCCCGAGUCUCUAGGACAUUCCUAAAAAAAUUUGAGUUUUUCCCAUAGGAAUGCAUGGGUUAGGGUUAGGGUUAGGGUUGGAGCUAGGGUUAGGGUUAGGGUUAGGGUUGGAGUUAGGGUUAGUGUUGGAGCUAGGGUUAGGGUUGGGCUUGGAGCUAGGAUUUUUCUGAGUGCACUGAACCAACUCCCGAGUCUCUAGGACAUUCCUAAAAAAAUUUGAUUUUUUCCCAUAGGAAUGCAUGGGUUAGGGUUAUGGUUAGGGUUAGGGUUGGAGCUAGGGUUAGGGUUAGGGUUAGGGUUGGAGUUAGGGUUAGUGUUGGAGCUAGGGUUAGGGUUGGGCUUGGAGCUAGGAUUUUUCUGAGUGCACUGAACCAACUCCCGAGUCUCUAGGACAUUCCUAAAAAAAUUUGAUUUUUUCCCAUAGGAAUGCAUGGGUUAGGGUUAUGGUUAGGGUUAGGGUUGGAGCUAGGGUUAGGGUUAGGGUUAGGGUUGGAGUUAGGGUUAGUGUUGGAGCUAGGGUUAGGGUUGGGCUUGGAGCUAGGAUUUUUCUGAGUGCACUGAACCAACUCCCGAGUCUCUAGGACGUUCCUAAAAAAAUUUGAUUUUUUCCCAUAGGAAUGCAUGGGUUAGGGUUAGGGUUAGGGUUGGAGCUAGGGUUAGGGUUAGGGUUAGGGUUGGAGUUAGGGUUAGUGUUGGAGCUAGGGUUAGGGUUGGGCUUGGAGCUAGGAUUUUUCUGAGUGCACUGAACCAACUCCCGAGUCUCUAGGACAUUCCUAAAAAAAUUUGAGUUUUUCCCAUAGGAAUGCAUGGGUUAGGGUUAGGGUUAGGGUUGGAGCUAGGGUUAGGGUUAGGGUUAGGGUUGGAGUUAGGGUUAGUGUUGGAGCUAGGGUUAGGGUUGGGCUUGGAGCUAGGAUUUUUCUGAGUGCACUGAACCAACUCCCGAGUCUCUAGGACAUUCCUAAAAAAAUUUGAUUUUUUCCCAUAGGAAUGCAUGGGUUAGGGUUAGGGUUAGGGUUAGGGUUGGAGCUAGGGUUAGGGUUAGGGUUAGGGUUGGAGUUAGGGUUAGUGUUGGAGCUAGGGUUAGGGUUGGGCUUGGAGCUAGGAUUUUUCUGAGUGCACUGAACCAACUCCCGAGUCUCUAGGACGUUCCUAAAAAAAUUUGAUUUUUUCCCAUAGGAAUGCAUGGGUUAGGGUUAUGGUUAGGGUUAGGGUUUGAGCUAGGGUUAGGGUUAGGGUUAGGGUUGGAGUUAGGGUUAGUGUUGGAGCUAGGGUUAGGGUUGGGCUUGGAGCUAGGAUUUUUCUGAGUGCACUGAACCAACUCCCGAGUCUCUAGGACGUUCCUAAAAAAAUUUGAUUUUUUCCCAUAGGAAUGCAUGGGUUAGGGUUAGGGUUAGGGUUGGAGCUAGGGUUAGGGUUAGGGUUAGGGUUGGAGUUAGGGUUAGUGUUGGAGCUAGGGUUAGGGUUGGGCUUGGAGCUAAGAUUUUUCUGAGUGCACUGAACCAACUCCCGAGUCUCUAGGACAUUCCUAAAAAAAUUUGAUUUUUUCCCAUAGGAAUGCAUGGGUUAGGGUUAUGGUUAGGGUUGGAGCUAGGGUUAGGGUUAGGGUUAGGGUUGGAGUUAGGGUUAGUGUUGGAGCUAGGGUUAGGGUUGGGCUUGGAGCUAGGAUUUUUCUGAGUGCACUGAACCAACUCCCGAGUCUCUAGGACAUUCCUAAAAAAUUUGAGUUUUUCCCAUAGGAAUGCAUGGGUUAGGGUUAGGGUUAGGGUUGGAGCUAGGGUUAGGGUUAGGGUUAGGGUUGGAGUUAGGGUUAGUGUUGGAGCUAGGGUUAGGGUUGGGCUUGGAGCUAGGAUUUUUCUGAGUGCACUGAACCAACUCCCGAGUCUCUAGGACAUUCCUAAAAAAAUUUGAUUUUUUCCCAUAGGAAUGCAUGGGUUAGGGUUAUGGUUAGGGUUGGAGCUAGGGUUAGGGUUAGGGUUAGGGUUGGAGUUAGGGUUAGUGUGUUGGAGCUAGGGUUAGGGUUGGGCUUGGAGCUAGGAUUUUUCUGAGUGCACUGAACCAACUCCCGAGUCUCUAGGACAUUCCUAAAAAAAUUUGAGUUUUUCCCAUAGGAAUGCAUGGGUUAGGGUUAGGGUUAGGGUUGGAGCUAGGGUUAGGGUUAGGGUUAGGGUUGGAGUUAGGGUUAGUGUUGGAGCUAGGGUUAGGGUUGGGCUUGGAGCUAGGAUUUUUCUGAGUGCACUGAACCAACUCCCGAGUCUCUAGGACAUUCCUAAAAAAAUUUGAUUUUUUCCCAUAGGAAUGCAUGGGUUAGGGUUAUGGUUAGGGUUAGGGUUGGAGCUAGGGUUAGGGUUAGGGUUAGGGUUGGAGUUAGGGUUAGUGUUGGAGCUAGGGUUAGGGUUGGGCUUGGAGCUAGGAUUUUUCUGAGUGCACUGAACCAACUCCCGAGUCUCUAGGACAUUCCUAAAAAAAUUUGAUUUUUUCCCAUAGGAAUGCAUGGGUUAGGGUUAUGGUUAGGGUUAGGGUUGGAGCUAGGGUUAGGGUUAGGGUUAGGGUUGGAGUUAGGGUUAGUGUUGGAGCUAGGGUUAGGGUUGGGCUUGGAGCUAGGAUUUUUCUGAGUGCACUGAACCAACUCCCGAGUCUCUAGGACAUUCCUAAAAAAAUUUGAUUUUUUCCCAUAGGAAUGCAUGGGUUAGGGUUAUGGUUAGGGUUAGGGUUGGAGCUAGGGUUAGGGUUAGGGUUAGGGUUGGAGUUAGGGUUAGUGUUGGAGCUAGGGUUAGGGUUGGGCUUGGAGCUAGGAUUUUUCUGAGUGCACUGAACCAACUCCCGAGUCUCUAGGACAUUCCUAAAAAAAUUUGAGUUUUUCCCAUAGGAAUGCAUGGGUUAGGGUUAUGGUUAGGGUUAGGGUUGGAGCUAGGGUUAGGGUUAGGGUUAGGGUUGGAGUUAGGGUUAGUGUUGGAGCUAGGGUUAGGGUUGGGCUUGGAGCUAGGAUUUUUCUGAGUGCACUGAACCAACUCCCGAGUCUCUAGGACAUUCCUAAAAAAAUUUGAUUUUUUUCCCAUAGGAAUGCAUGGGUUAGGGUUAUGGUUAGGGUUAGGGUUGGAGCUAGGGUUAGGGUUAGGGUUAGGGUUGGAGUUAGGGUUAGUGUUGGAGCUAGGGUUAGGGUUGGGCUUGGAGCUAGGAUUUUUCUGAGUGCAUUGAACCAACUCCCGAGUCUCUAGGACAUUCCUAAAAAAAAUUGAUUUUUUCCCAUAGGAAUGCAUGGGUUAGGGUUAUGGUUAGGGUUAGGGUUGGAGCUAGGGUUAGGGUUAGGGUUAGGGUUGGAGUUAGGGUUAGUGUUGGAGCUAGGGUUAGGGUUGGGCUUGGAGCUAGGAUUUUUCUGAGUGCCCUGAACCAACUCCCGAGUCUCUAGGACAUUCCUAAAAAAAUUUGAUUUUUUCCCAUAGGAAUGCAUGGGUUAGGGUUAUGGUUAGGGUUAGGGUUGGAGCUAGGGUUAGGGUUAGGGUUAGGGUUGGAGUUAGGGUUAGUGUUGGAGCUAGGGUUAGGGUUGGGCUUGGAGCUAGGAUUUUUCUGAGUGCACUGAACCAACUCCCGAGUCUCUAGGACAUUCCUAAAAAAAUUUGAUUUUUUCCCAUAGGAAUGCAUGGGUUAGGGUUAUGGUUAGGGUUAGGGUUGGAGCUAGGGUUAGGGUUAGGGUUAGGGUUGGAGUUAGGGUUAGUGUUGGAGCUAGGGUUAGGGUUGGGCUUGGAGCUAGGAUUUUUCUGAGUGCACUGAACCAACUCCCGAGUCUCUAGGACAUUCCUAAAAAAAUUUGAUUUUUUCCCAUAGGAAUGCAUGGGUUAGGGUUAGGGUUAGGGUUGGAGCUAGGGUUAGGGUUAGGGUUAGGGUUGGAGUUAGGGUUAGUGUUGGAGCUAGGGUUAGGGUUGGGCUUGGAGCUAGGAUUUUUCUGAGUGCACUGAACCAACUCCCGAGUCUCUAGGACAUUCCUAAAAAAAUUUGAGUUUUUCCCAUAGGAAUGCAUGGGUUAGGGUUAGGGUUAGGGUUGGAGCUAGGGUUAGGGUUAGGGUUAGGGUUGGAGUUAGGGUUAGUGUUGGAGCUAGGGUUAGGGUUGGGCUUGGAGCUAGGAUUUUUCUGAGUGCACUGAACCAACUCCCGAGUCUCUAGGACAUUCCUAAAAAAAUUUGAUUUUUUCCCAUAGGAAUGCAUGGGUUAGGGUUAGGGUUAGGGUUGGAGCUAGGGUUAGGGUUAGGGUUGCAGUUAGGGUUAGUGUUGGAGCUAGGGUUAGGGUUGGGCUUGGAGCUAGGAUUUUUCUGAGUGCACUGAACCAACUCCCGAGUCUCUAGGACAUUCCUAAAAAAAUUUGAUUUUUUCCCAUAGGAAUGCAUGGGUUAGGGUUAUGGUUAGGGUUAGGGUUGGAGCUAGGGUUAGGGUUAGGGUUAGGGUUGGAGUUAGAGUUAGUGUUGGAGCUAGGGUUAGGGUUGGGCUUGGAGCUAGGAUUUUUCUGAGUGCACUGAACCAACUCCCGAGUCUCUAGGACAUUCCUAAAAAAAUUUGAUUUUUUCCCAUAGGAAUGCAUGGGUUAGGGUUAUGGUUAGGGUUAGGGUUGGAGCUAGGGUUAGGGUUAGGGUUAGGGUUGGAGUUAGGGUUAGUGUUGGAGCUAGGGUUAGGGUUGGGCUUGGAGCUAGGAUUUUUCUGAGUGCACUGAACCAACUCCCGAGUCUCUAGGACGUUCCUAAAAAAAUUUGAUUUUUUCCCAUAGGAAUGCAUGGGUUAGGGUUAGGGUUAGGGUUGGAGCUAGGGUUAGGGUUAGGGUUAGGGUUGGAGUUAGGGUUAGUGUUGGAGCUAGGGUUAGGGUUGGGCUUGGAGCUAGGAUUUUUCUGAGUGCACUGAACCAACUCCCGAGUCUCUAGGACAUUCCUAAAAAAAAUUUGAUUUUUUCCCAUAGGAAUGCAUGGGUUAGGGUUAUGGUUAGGGUUAGGGUUGGAGCUAGGGUUAGGGUUAGGGUUAGGGUUGGAGUUAGGGUUAGUGUUGGAGCUAGGGUUAGGGUUGGGCUUGGAGCUAGGAUUUUUCUGAGUGCACUGAACCAACUCCCGAGUCUCUAGGACAUUCCUAAAAAAAUUUGAUUUUUUUCCCAUAGGAAUGCAUGGGUUAGGGUUAUGGUUAGGGUUAGGGUUGGAGCUAGGGUUAGGGUUAGGGUUAGGGUUGGAGUUAGGGUUAGUGUUGGAGCUAGGGUUAGGGUUGGGCUUGGAGCUAGGAUUUUUCUGAGUGCACUGAACCAACUCCCGAGUCUCUAGGACAUUCCUAAAAAAAUUUGAUUUUUUCCCAUAGGAAUGCAUGGGUUAGGGUUAGGGUUAGGGUUGGAGCUAGGGUUAGGGUUAGGGUUAGGGUUGGAGUUAGGGUUAGUGUUGGAGCUAGGGUUAGGGUUGGGCUUGGAGCUAGGAUUUUUCUGAGUGCACUGAACCAACUCCCGAGUCUCUAGGACAUUCCUAAAAAAAUUUGAUUUUUUCCCAUAGGAAUGCAUGGGUUAGGGUUAUGGUUAGGGUUAGGGUUGGAGCUAGGGUUAGGGUUAGGGUUAGGGUUGGAGUUAGGGUUAGUGUUGGAGCUAGGGUUAGGGUUGGGCUUGGAGCUAGGAUUUUUCUGAGUGCACUGAACCAACUCCCGAGUCUCUAGGACAUUCCUAAAAAAAUUUGAUUUUUUCCCAUAGGAAUGCAUGGGUUAGGGUUAUGGUUAGGGUUAGGGUUGGAGCUAGGGUUAGGGUUAGGGUUAGGGUUGGAGUUAGGGUUAGUGUUGGAGCUAGGGUUAGGGUUGGGCUUGGAGCUAGGAUUUUUCUGAGUGCACUGAACCAACUCCCGAGUCUCUAGGACGUUCCUAAAAAAAUUUGAUUUUUUCCCAUAGGAAUGCAUGGGUUAGGGUUAGGGUUAGGGUUGGAGCUAGGGUUAGGGUUAGGGUUAGGGUUGGAGUUAGGGUUAGUGUUGGAGCUAGGGUUAGGGUUGGGCUUGGAGCUAGGAUUUUUCUGAGUGCACUGAACCAACUCCCGAGUCUCUAGGACAUUCCUAAAAAAAUUUGAUUUUUUCCCAUAGGAAUGCAUGGGUUAGGGUUAGGGUUAGGGUUGGAGCUAGGGUUAGGGUUAGGGUUGCAGUUAGGGUUAGUGUUGGAGCUAGGGUUAGGGUUGGGCUUGGAGCUAGGAUUUUUCUGAGUGCACUGAACCAACUCCCGAGUCUCUAGGACAUUCCUAAAAAAAUUUGAUUUUUUCCCAUAGGAAUGCAUGGGUUAGGGUUAUGGUUAGGGUUAGGGUUGGAGCUAGGGUUAGGGUUAGGGUUAGGGUUGGAGUUAGGGUUAGUGUUGGAGCUAGGGUUAGGGUUGGGCUUGGAGCUAGGAUUUUUCUGAGUGCACUGAACCAACUCCCGAGUCUCUAGGACGUUCCUAAAAAAAUUUGAUUUUUUCCCAUAGGAAUGCAUGGGUUAGGGUUAGGGUUAGGGUUGGAGCUAGGGUUAGGGUUAGGGUUAGGGUUGGAGUUAGGGUUAGUGUUGGAGCUAGGGUUAGGGUUGGGCUUGGAGCUAGGAUUUUUCUGAGUGCACUGAACCAACUCCCGAGUCUCUAGGACGUUCCUAAAAAAAUUUGAUUUUUUCCCAUAGGAAUGCAUGGGUUAGGGUUAGGGUUAGGGUUGGAGCUAGGGUUAGGGUUAGGGUUAGGGUUGGAGUUAGGGUUAGUGUUGGAGCUAGGGUUAGGGUUGGGCUUGGAGCUAGGAUUUUUCUGAGUGCACUGAACCAACUCCCGAGUCUCUAGGACAUUCCUAAAAAAAUUUGAUUUUUUCCCAUAGGAAUGCAUGGGUUAGGGUUAGGGUUAGGGUUGGAGCUAGGGUUAGGGUUAGGGUUGCAGUUAGGGUUAGUGUUGGAGCUAGGGUUAGGGUUGGGCUUGGAGCUAGGAUUUUUCUGAGUGCACUGAACCAACUCCCGAGUCUCUAGGACAUUCCUAAAAAAAUUUGAUUUUUUCCCAUAGGAAUGCAUGGGUUAGGGUUAUGGUUAGGGUUAGGGUUGGAGCUAGGGUUAGGGUUAGGGUUAGGGUUGGAGUUAGGGUUAGUGUUGGAGCUAGGGUUAGGGUUGGGCUUGGAGCUAGGAUUUUUCUGAGUGCACUGAACCAACUCCCGAGUCUCUAGGACGUUCCUAAAAAAAUUUGAUUUUUUCCCAUAGGAAUGCAUGGGUUAGGGUUAGGGUUAGGGUUGGAGCUAGGGUUAGGGUUAGGGUUAGGGUUGGAGUUAGGGUUAGUGUUGGAGCUAGGGUUAGGGUUGGGCUUGGAGCUAGGAUUUUUCUGAGUGCACUGAACCAACUCCCGAGUCUCUAGGACAUUCCUAAAAAAAAUUGAGUUUUUCCCAUAGGAAUGCAUGGGUUAGGGUUAGGGUUAGGGUUGGAGCUAGGGUUAGGGUUAGGGUUAGGGUUGGAGUUAGGGUUAGUGUUGGAGCUAGGGUUAGGGUUGGGCUUGGAGCUAGGAUUUUUCUGAGUGCACUGAACCAACUCCCGAGUCUCUAGGACAUUCCUAAAAAAUUUGAUUUUUUCCCAUAGGAAUGCAUGGGUUAGGGUUAUGGUUAGGGUUAGGGUUGGAGCUAGGGUUAGGGUUAGGGUUAGGGUUGGAGUUAGGGUUAGUGUUGGAGCUAGGGUUAGGGUUGGGCUUGGAGCUAGGAUUUUUCUGAGUGCACUGAACC